UACGUAGGGGGCAAGCGUUGUCCGGAUUUAUUGGGCGUAAAGAGCGUGUAGGCGGCUAGGUAGGUCCGUUGUGAAAACUCGAGGCUCAACCUCGAGCGUGCACCCGAUACUGCCGGGCUUGAGGCAGGUAGGGGAGAUCGGAAUUCCUGGUGUAGCGGUGAAAUGCGCAGAUAUCAGGAGGAACACCGGUGGCGAAGGCGGAUCUCUGGGCCUGUCCUGACGCUGAGGCGCGAAAGCUAGGGGAGCGAACAGG
rnacentral:rRNA from 1 species